rnacentral:rRNA from 1 species
UACGAAGGGGGCUAGCGUUGCUCGGAAUCACUGGGCGUAAAGGGUGCGUAGGCGGGUCUUUAAGUCAGGGGUGAAAUCCUGGAGCUCAACUCCAGAACUGCCUUUGAUACUGAGGAUCUUGAGUUCGGGAGAGGUGAGUGGAACUGCGAGUGUAGAGGUGAAAUUCGUAGAUAUUCGCAAGAACACCGGUGGCGAAGGCGGCGCUCUGGACCGAGACUGACGCUGAGGCGCGAAAGCGUGGGGAGCAAACAGGG